AACGAACGCUGGCGGCAGGCUUAACACAUGCAAGUCGAACGCCCUCUUCGGAGGGAGUGGCAGACGGGUGAGUAACGCGUGGGAACCUACCCAGUAGUACGGAAUAACUCAGGGAAACUUGUGCUAAUACCGUAUACGCCCUACGGGGGAAAGAUUUAUCGCUAUUGGAUGGGCCCGCGUCGGAUUAGCUUGUUGGUAGGGUAAUGGCCUACCAAGGCAACGAUCCGUAGCUGGUCUUAGAGGAUGAUCAGCCACACUGGGACUGAGACACGGCCCAGACUCCUACGGGAGGCAGCAGUGGGGAAUAUUGGACAAUGGGCGAAAGCCUGAUCCAGCCAUGCCGCGUGAGUGACGAAGGCCUUAGGGUUGUAAAACUCUUUUGGCGGGGACGAUAAUGACGGUACCCGCAGAAUAAGCCCCGGCUAACUUCGUG
rnacentral:rRNA from 1 species